rnacentral:rRNA from 1 species
CCUACGGGGGGCUGCAGUGGGGAAUAUUGGACAAUGGGGGGAACCCUGAUCCAGCCAUGCCGCGUGUGUGAAGAAGGCCCUCGGGUUGUAAAGCACUUUCAGUGAGGAAGAACGCCUGGUGGUUAAUACCCAUCAGGAAAGACAUCACUCACAGAAGAAGCACCGGCUAACUCCGUGCCAGCAGCCGCGGUAAUACGGAGGGUGCGAGCGUUAAUCGGAAUUACUGGGCGUAAAGCGCGCGUAGGUGGCUUGAUAAGCCGGUUGUGAAAGCCCCGGGCUCAACCUGGGAACGGCAUCCGGACCUGUCAAGCUAGAGUGCAGGAGAGGAAGGUAGAAUUCCCGGUGUAGCGGUGAAAUGCGUAGAGAUCGGGAGGAAUACCAGUGGCGAAGGCGGCCUUCUGGACUGACACUGACACUGAGGUGCGAAAGCGUGGGUAGCAAACAGGAUUAGAUACCCGAGUAGUC